UCCCACAUGCCGCAGCGGCUGGGCCCGUGAGCCAUGGACGCUGAGCCCGUGCUCCGCAACGGGAGAGGUCACAACAGUGAGAUGCCCGCAUACCGCAAAAAAAGAAGAAAAAAAAAAAACCAGAUGGAAUAUUAUAACCUAGAAAAAUCCCUGACAGAAUUUAAUAUGAAAACAAAAGCUCUGUGUACACUCUGUUCCAAUAUGUAUAGACAAUAAAAAAAUGAAUAUUUGUUGUGAGGGGCAACAAGAUUAAAGGUGAUUUUGUCAAUGAUAAAUGUGUGUACAUGGCGGAAUAAACAGUCACGACUGAAGCUACACUACUAAUCAUCUCUGCCUCAAUAAUGUCACCAUAGACAUUCUCUCUACAUUCAGACAUCUUUUAGAGAGAAAAGUGCAUCAUUUAAGUCAAUUUACUUGUUCUAAAUACUCCCUGUGAUUCAGUUGUUGCUUUGACACAAUUUCUCAACAGAAUAUAUCAUCCAGCCAAUCAAACAGAAUAAUGGGGCGACUCCAUAGCAAAAGAGUCAAAGCCUGCUUACGUGGCAGUGAGUUAUCCACUUAGCGACUAGCUGUGCCCCACUGUGGCUCAGAGCACCAUUAACAAAAGGCUGAUAGAGAAAUGCCCCAAAAGAAGGAAAGAAAGACACUUAAUAUAUGAGGUUACUCCCCAAACGGUCUGAUUUUCCAAAAACAAAUGCAAAUGAUUUGGGCAUUGCUUUUUAUAUUACCUAUAGAAGCCUUGUAAAUAAGAUUUUAAAUGCAUCCCUUUCAAAAUGAGAGAGGAAGCCAGUAGGACAUCAAAAAGAACCACAUCUUCUUGCUAUUUGAACUAAUUAUCUUAUUAAAAAUUGUUUUCAUUUUUAAUAGUGAAAUCUUCCCUCUACCUAGCUAACUCCUCCCUACACUGCUAAGAAAAAUAAUAAAUAAAAAGCUCUAUAGUAAGGAGUUUAAUAAAACCGAAGUUAAAAUCUAAAACAUGAAGUCACUAUUACCUAGAUUAAGCCUUGAAAUGUUUAAACUUCAGGGGAUGCCAACCACCUGAAUGCAGACCUCACUUGAUUUGUACCUGUGGGUCCUGAACGAUUGGCUCAAUUUUCACUGUCCCGUAAUUCAAGUUCUCUAACUUUGAGUACACUGUGCUAUCGACAGAAAUGGGAAACUCUCCCAGUGAGCUACUUGGAGGCUUCAACCCUAAUCUGAAGAUGUUGCAGCAGUAAUACAGACUAGGAUGUCUGGCCUCCCUGAGCCAAAGAGCACAAAAUUCUUCUCACUCACUGACUAAAGAGACGGAAAGUUUUCUCUCUCCUCACACAGUGAAAGCAAGGAAGAACAGCAACGUUCUCAGCACCUCGUUCUUGCACCAUGCAUUCAACAAACAUGGUUAAAGAGAGCAUCUGCCGUGUGCAGAAAAGGAUAUGCGUCCUCAGAAGCGAUGAAGGAAAACUCCAGACCAUAAGUGUAGAAAGAAAAGUUCCCUACUCCCUCAGAUGGUAGCCGAGGAAAAUAAAAUGUGAAGUGAUUUUUCUUGACAUAA